CUGUGGAUAAAUACCUGUGUUUCCCUUUGGUCUUUGUCCGUAUGUCUGUGUUUCUCCUGCAUUCAUCCUGUUGGUCAUCCUGCAUUCAUCCCUGCGUUACUCCUGUGCUCAUCCCUAUUCACCGUGUUUUUCCUGGUUUUAUCAAACAGUGAUCCGGCCUCUCUCUCCCUCGCUCUCUCUGUGCUUGGCCCCAAACCCAGUGUGGAGAUCAGCGGAGCAACAGACUGAGACUGACAUGGAACCAGCUGCAAUCACUGCCGCUACUGUGAGCGGACAGCUUUUUGAUGGUCUUCACCUUGAAGUCGAUGCCCACCGUACUGACAAAGGCCGGUGUGAAGGAGUCAUCGGCGUAGCGGAACAAGAAGGAGGUUUUGCCCACACUGCUGUUGCCAAUGAUGAGGAUCUUGAACAUAUAGUCAAAG